UCCACCUUCUCCCGUCCCUUGCUCCACACUGAUUCUGAACUUCCUUCUCCCGUCCCUUGGUCCACACCGAAACUUCACUGUUUCUUCCUUUAAUUCCUUCAUUUCUUUUUCAUCACCAAAGCACUCUUUAUUAUUCUCUUAUAUUUUUCUUUAGCUUUUUUUAAGAUCCAUCUGAUUUCAAUGGCAGCUCUUGCACCUACCCCUCUUUCGAAACACCCUUAUCAAGUUCACCGAAGGUCUUUGAUUCCAGGGUCCAAAGUGGGGAGAUUCAACCGACCCAAUUCAGAUUUCGGGCUUAUUUCAGGCUGGGCAUGUUUGCUGGGAUGACAAUGAUGUAAUAAAUGGAAAACCAACUGGAGCGGUUAGAGUAUCUAUUGGCUACAUGUCAACUUAUGAAGAUGCUAAGGCAGUCUUUAUCUACCUUUUGAGCUCUGCCCUUUAUUUCUAUUCUAGAAAAAUGUAUGAUAUUUUUUUUAUUUUAUUGUAUACAUGCAUCAGCUGUUACAUGAAAUGGAACAUAGAAGCUUCCAACAUAAAGGAUACUAAUCUAUUAGAACUUCUGUGGGACUGUUGAUUUCCAUCGAUAAUAACAUGUUGGGAUAUAUUUGGUGAAUGUUUCUCUCAUUCUUUCUGUUUGAUGGUAUUUACUGACCGAUGGUUUUUCCUCCAUACAGAAACUUAUUGAUUUUAUGAGAAGUUCCUUUGUAUCCAUACCAAGUGAGUUCGAGAAAGGGAACCUGCUCAGAUUAAAGUCAAUUCCAUACCAAAACUGAAGGUUGUUCAGGGUUUUGGUUCAUUUUUAUUGCCAAUAAAAUGAAAACAAUUUGUUAGAUUUGCAAGUUCUCCUUUUCCCAAUUGGCAAAUUAUUUCCACUGUAAAAUAACGCUAUUAUACCUAU